rnacentral:rRNA from 1 species
GAGAGUUUGAUCCUGGCUCAGGAUGAACGCUGGCGGCGUGCCUAACACAUGCAAGUCGAGCGAUUCUCUUUGGAGAAGAGCGGCGGACGGGUGAGUAACGCGUGGGUAACCUGCCCUGUACACACGGAUAACAUACCGAAAGGUAUGCUAAUACGGGAUAACAUAAGAAAUUCGCAUGUUUUUCUUAUCAAAGCUCCGGCGGUACAGGAUGGACCCGCGUCUGAUUAGCUAGUUGGUGAGGUAACGGCUCACCAAGGCCACGAUCAGUAGCCGACCUGAGAGGGUGAUCGGCCACAUUGGAACUGAGACACGGUCCAAACUCCUACGGGAGGCAGCAGUGGGGAAUAUUGCACAAUGGGCGAAAGCCUGAUGCAGCAACGCCGCGUGAGCGAUGAAGGCCUUCGGGUGUAAAGCUCUGUCCUCAAGGAAGAUUAAUGACGUACUUGAGGAGAAGCCCGGCUUA